rnacentral:rRNA from 1 species
GGGCCCGCACAAGCGGUGGAGCAUGUGGUUUAAUUCGAUGAUACGCGAGGAACCUUACCAGGGCUUAAUGUAGGAUGCAUUAGCUAGAGAUAGCUAUUUCUUCGGACUUCUUACAAGGUGCUGCAUGGUUGUCGUCAGCUCGUGCCGUGAGGUGUCAGGUUAAGUCCUAUAACGAGCGCAACCCCUGUCGUUAGUUGCCAGCAUGUAAUGAUGGGAACUCUAACGGGACUGCCGGUGCAAACCGCGAGGAAGGUGGGGAUGACGUCAAAUCAUCACGGCCCUUACGUCCUGGGCUACACACGUGCUACAAUGGCCGGUACAGAGGGCAGCCACACCGCAAGGUGGAGCGAAUCCUUAAAACCGGUCUCAGUUCGGAUCGGGGUCUGCAACUCGGCCCCGUGAAGCUGGAAUCGCUAGUAA